UUUUCCUCUUCAUCUUCUUGUUCUUCGCUUGCAUCACUGUCAUCAUCUGCAGGAACAUUUCCUCUUCUAAAAAAAUUAUACGUUCUCCGCUCAUUGCACCAAAGAUAUCCCAUCAUAGACAUAGUUUUUGUGCUAAACUCUUUGUCAGAUGAGAUGGAAGUGUACGGGAAAUACGGAUGAUUAACGUUGGCUGCAGUAAGGACCUCUUG
rnacentral:lncRNA from 1 species